rnacentral:lncRNA from 1 species
UAAUUUCAUAUUGUUUAACAUCAGAGUCGAACUUAGUAAACAAUACCUAGCUUUGUUAAAUAUCUAACUCUUAAGCAAACCAUAAAGUCCAGAUAAAAUUUGUGAUGUUGAAACAAAUUAAAUUACAAAAAAAUUGGGGGAUAUAAAUUGAAUAAAAUAUAUGCGGGGCACCGGUGAUCGGUGAAGGAUAAGGUCCUAUCCUUAAAACUUGGUUCCAGUGGUAGUGCCUGUCUUUAUUUUAUCUGCUUCCCUGCAUUUCAAUGGUUUUGCCAGUGAAUAAGGAUAACAAUAAUGAACAUAACGAUUUUACUCAUCAUGUUUUUUCACCUUUUCAUUUUCAUUUUUAAAUCUAAGUAAAUCCCUUUUUUUUCUUGAAAAAAUAUUAUUUUUCAAUGUGUCAAAUAAUAGUCUGGAAACAUUGAACAGAAAUGUAGACAUUACUUCAGGUAAAUGUUUGGACAGUAUAAUAAAAAAGAUUUACGAGACAUGGGUGAGGUAGUUUCCAGUCCCACAAUAUUUCAAAAUUUUUUAUUAUAUGCGUAUUUGCCCGUUUAACAUUUUUUUUCCCCUCCAUGAAAAUUUUGACUCGGUCACUAGCUGUGCAAAGAACAAUCAUAUAAGACUCGUACAUAGGAAGAAAAUACCACAAAUAAAUUUGUUUUCAAUUUUGGGCAAGAUCAAGAGUUUCACCUUCCAUUGAUGACGAUGGAUCUACAUGAAUUGUUAGACUCCAUUGAUGUUGUUAAUCCAUGCAAAUUGUCAAGUAAAACACUCUCAUUUAUGAAUUUGGACUCAAUGGGAAAAGUUUCGUCGAGAUUUUCCAUGCAUUUAGUAAAGGGAAUUUUUAUUUCCACAAAAAAAUUCUAACAAUUU